ensembl:snoRNA SNORA70 Small nucleolar RNA SNORA70
CUGCAGCCAAUUAAGCCGACUAUGCUCUUUAACUUGUGGGGACCCAGUGUGUAAUGGUCCAGUGUGUACAGCUUCCUUGGUAGUGUAUGCAGCCUGUUGCCUGUAUGGGUUGCCCCUAAGAGACCUUGGAGACAGCU